GACGAACGCUGGCGGCGUGCUUAACACAUGCAAGUCGAACGGAAAGGCCCUGCUUUUGUGGGGUGCUCGAGUGGCGAACGGGUGAGUAACACGUGAGUAACCUGCCCUUGACUUUGGGAUAACUUCAGGAAACUGGGGCUAAUACCGGAUAGGAGCUCCUGCUGCAUGGUGGGGGUUGGAAAGUUUCGGCGGUUGGGGAUGGACUCGCGGCUUAUCAGCUUGUUGGUGGGGUAGUGGCUUACCAAGGCUUUGACGGGUAGCCGGCCUGAGAGGGUGACCGGCCACAUUGGGACUGAGGUACGGCCCAGACUCUUACGGGAGGCAGCAGUGGGGAAUAUUGCACAAUGGGCGGAAGCCUGAUGCAGCAACGCCGCGUGCGGGAUGACGGCCUUCGGGUUGUAAACCGCUUUCGCCUGUGACGAAGCGUGAGUGACGGUAAUGGGUAAAGAAGCACCGGCUAACUACGUG
rnacentral:rRNA from 1 species